GAUGAACGCUGGCGGCGUGCCUAAUACAUGCAAGUCGAGCGAACAGACGAGGAGCUUGCUCCUCUGACGUUAGCGGCGGACGGGUGAGUAACACGUGGAUAACCUACCUAUAAGACUGGGAUAACUUCGGGAAACCGGAGCUAAUACCGGAUAAUAUAUUGAACCGCAUGGUUCAAUAGUGAAAGACGGUUUUGCUGUCACUUAUAGAUGGAUCCGCGCCGCAUUAGCUAGUUGGUAAGGUAACGGCUUACCAAGGCAACGAUGCGUAGCCGACCUGAGAGGGUGAUCGGCCACCCUGGAACUGAGACACGGUCCAGACUACUACGGGAGGAAGCAGUAUGGAAUCUUCCGCAAUGGGCGAAAGCCUGACGGAGCAACGCCGCGUGAGUGAUGAAGGUCUUCGGAUCGUAAAACUCUGUUAUUAGGGAAGAACAAAUGUGUAAGUAACUAUGCACGUCUUGACGGUACCUAAUCAGAAAGCCACGGCUAACUACGUG
rnacentral:rRNA from 1 species